AACUUUUAACAACGGAUCACUUGGUUCUGGCAUCGAUGAAGAACGCAGCGAAAUGCGAUUAGUAGUGUGAAUUGCAGAAUUCAGUGAAUCAUCGAAUCUUUGAACGCACAUUGCGCCCCUUGGUAUUCCAUGGGGCAUGCCUGUUCGAGCGUCAUUUGUACCCUUAAGCUCUGCUUAGUGUUGGGUGUUUGUCCCGCCUCGCGCGUGGACUCGCCUUAAAGCCAUUGGCAGCCGGCAUAUUGUUUCGGAGCGCAGCACAUUUUGCGCUUCUAACAUGAAUGUUGGUAUCCAGUAAGCCUUUACAUUUGCUCUUGACCUCGGAUCAGGUAGGGAUACCCGCUGAACUUAAGCAUAUCAAUAAGCGGAGGCU
rnacentral:misc_RNA from 1 species